CAGCCGCCACGGUAAUACAGAGGGUGCGAGCGUUAAUCGGAUUUACUGGGCGUAAAGCGUGCGUAGGCGGCUUUUUAAGUCGGAUGUGAAAUCCCUGAGCUUAACUUAGGAAUUGCAUUCGAUACUGGGAAGCUAGAGUAUGGGAGAGGAUGGUAGAAUUCCAGGUGUAGCGGUGAAAUGCGUAGAGAUCUGGAGGAAUACCGAUGGCGAAGGCAGCCAUCUGGCCUAAUACUGACGCUGAGGUACGAAAGCAUGGGGAGCAAACAGGAUUAGAUACCCCCGUAGUCCCUGUCUCUUAUAU
rnacentral:rRNA from 1 species